UACGUAGGGGGCAAGCGUUGUCCGGAUUUAUUGGGCGUAAAGAGCGUGUAGGCGGCUGGGUAGGUCCGUUGUGAAAACUCGAGGCUCAACCUCGAGACGCCGAUGGAAACCCCCCGGCUAGAGUCCGGAAGAGGAGAGUGGAAUUCCUGGUGUAGCGGUGAAAUGCGCAGAUAUCAGGAAGAACACCCGUGGCUAAGGCGGCUCUCUAGUACGGUACUGACGCUGAGACGCAAAAGCGUGGGGAGCGAACAGG
rnacentral:rRNA from 1 species